rnacentral:rRNA from 1 species
AGAGUUUGAUCCUGGCUCAGAACGAACGCUGGCGGCGUGCUUCAUACAUGCAAGUCGAACGAGAAAAUUCCGCUUCGGUGGAAUGAGUAGAGUGGCAAACGGGUGAGUAACACGUGGGCAACCUGCUCUCAAAUUGGGGAUAACCUCGCCAACGCGGGGCUAAUACCGAAUGUUGUCCUAAUAUCGCAUGGUAUAAGGAUGAAAGCUUUUUUUUAAUAAGAAGGCGUUUGAGAAGGGGCCCGCGUCCUAUUAGCUUGUUGGUGAGGUAAUGGCUCACCAAGGCUGCGAUAGGUAGCCGGCCUGAGAGGGUGAUCGGCCACACUGGGACUGAGAUACGGCCCAGACUCCUACGGGAGGCAGCAGUAGGGAAUAUUGCGCAAUGGACGAAAGUCUGACGCAGCAACGCCGCGUGGGUGAUGAAGUUUUUCGGAACGUAAAACCCUGUCAGGAGGGAAGAAACUCUCGAUUUUUUCGGGACUGACGGUACCUCCAGAGGAAGCUCCGGCCAACUCCGUGCCAGCAGCCGCGGUAACACGGGGGGAGCAAGCGUUGUUCGGAUUUACUGGGCGUAAAGGGCUGUAGGCGGAUGGGUCAGUCAGAUGUGAAAUUCCAGGGCUCAACUCUGGACCUGCAUUUGAUACUUCUCAUCUAGAGUAUGGGAGAGGAGAUCGGAAUUCCUGGUGUAGCGGUGAAAUGCGUAGAUAUCAGGAAGAACACCGGUGGCGAAGGCGGAUCUCUGGCCUAAUACUGACGCUGAUGCGCGAAAGCUGGGGGAGCAAACAGGAUUAGAUACCCUGGUAGUCCCAGCCGUAAACGAUGGGCACUAGGUGUUGGGGGUAUUGAUCCCCUCAGUGCCGGAGUUAACGCAUUAAGUGCCCCGCCUGGGGAGUACGCUCGCAAGGGUGAAACUCAAAGGAAUUGACGGGGGCCCGCACAAGCGGUGGAGCAUGUGGUUUAAUUCGAUGCAACGCGAAGAACCUUACCGGGGUUUGACAUGCCCGUCAUACCUUGAUGAAAGUCAAGGGUCAGUUCGGCUGGACGGUGCACAGGUGCUGCAUGGCUGUCGUCAGCUCGUGUCGUGAGAUGUUGGGUUAAGUCCCGCAACGAGCGCAACCCUUACCCUUAGUUGCCAGCACGUAAUGGUGGGAACUCUAAGGGGACUGCCUCGGAUAACGGGGAGGAAGGUGGGGAUGACGUCAAGUCCUCAUGGCCCUUAUGCUCCGGGCUACACACGUGCUACAAUGGUCGGUACAGAGGGCUGCGAAACCGCGAGGUGGAGCUAAUCCCAGAAAGCCGAUCUCAGUUCGGAUUGGAGUCUGCAACUCGACUCCAUGAAGUCGGAAUCGCUAGUAAUCGCGAAUCAGCAGGUCGCGGUGAAUACGUUCCC